CAGGCCGGACUCCAGCCCUGUGGUCUAGGUGAGGGUGCUCCAGGCCUCGGUGUGUGCCCAGUCCCUGUCCUUAGGACUCCCCCAGCCACGUGCCUCGAGGUGGCUUCUCGCACAGCUGAGCCUUGGGAAGGAAAGGGCAGGAGCGAUGUCGGCCACCAGCCUCUUUCCGCCCUUCGCUCAGGUCAGGCCGCUCCCAGUGGACGCCCGGGGUUCAAGAGCCCCGCAGGAGGAGGAGGAUGUGCCUGCUGCAUCCCAAAGUCAGGCGACCAGGCGCUGGGAAGCCUCACCCGGGAAGAAGCGGAAGGUACAUGUUCAGGCUGCCAGAACGCGCAGCUCCGCCUCCACUGCCCCUCUGUGGGGCUGGCAGUGUUGCAGUAAGACUUCAUUGACGAACAGCAC
rnacentral:lncRNA from 1 species